UACGUAGGUGGCUAGCGUUGUCCGGAUUUACUGGGCGUAAAGGGCGCGUAGGCGGCCUUCUAAGUCGAACGUGAAAUCCCUGGGCUCAACCCAGGGACUGCGUCCGAUACUGGGAGGCUUGAAUCCGGGAGAGGGAUGUGGAAUUCCAGGUGUAGCGGUGAAAUGCGUAGAUAUCUGGAGGAACACCGGUGGCGAAGGCGGCGUUCUGGACUGCAUCUGACACUGAAAGACGAAAGCCAGGGGAGCAAACGGG
rnacentral:rRNA from 1 species